AUGAUUUUGGUUGAAAUUAUAGGAGAAAAAAGGGUAAUAAAGUUGUUAAAUAGGUUGAUUAUGUUGUUUAUAUAUUUUUAGGGUGAUUACAACUUACGUUAUGAUUUCUAGGGCUUGAAUAGUUGAAAGUUAAAAUUGAAACAUUAUGUUAUGGAGCGAUUAACUUAUGUUAUAUAAAUAAAGAAUUGCUUAAAAAAUUAGUUUUAGAUGAUAUUUUGGAUAGAUUUCAAAAAAUGAAAACCCGUAGGGCGUCGACGUUUUAAUUAUGUUUGUAACAAGGUUUAACAUGUCUUUGAUGAUUAUAUAAAUUUAGUUUGAUGUUCGUUUAUUUUACAUGUCCCGACCCGACCCGAUACGAACCGAUUUUUUACUUAUAUACCUAGGGGCCUAAAAUUUUUAAAAAUGUUCCGCACCCCUAUGGAAAAAUUCCUGGGUCCGCCACUGUAUACAUGUUUACUUAAGUGUUGAAUAAUUGAUGCAACCCGUACGUGGAUGAAACUCCAAGAAUGUAGGAAACGAAAGGAAUCGGAACUUGGGACAAUUUUCUCAUAUCUUUUUAUUUCUCAAACUAAGCCAUUUAAAUACAAUGCAAGUGAAAGGAAUUAAGUUGAACAAAAAGAAAUAAUCUUAGAAGGAAAUAAUAACUUGAACAGAAAGAAAUAAUUGUGGAGCUUGUUGACAUAUUUAUUUAUUGCUCAUAACGGCUAGGCUUCAUUACUUCACGUCUGAGCCUGUUUGCUUGCUUGCAUGAGCUGACCCUGAACUGCUUGUGCAUGGGCCGCACUAAAUACAUAUCACACAAUUCAACAUUUCAGGUUUUCAACCCCUCAUUCAAACCUUGUAUAGCUUGAUUUGAUUACUUUAGUUCUCAUUUUCAAUACUUCAAAGUUGAAACACAAAUAGAUGUGUUUUGUCAAAAUUGGUACUCAGAGACUUUAUCAUUAAACAAAAAAGACAAGAAACAAAUCUCAGACGCAACACACUCUUCAAACUCUAAGACUCGAAUCAUCAACAUGACGAACGGACUUCAAUCUUUUACAUAAUCUACACGGGUUAAACACUAUAAACCCUAGAUUUAUAAGAACUAUACAGAGUGCUAGAGAGAGACGAAAGAGAAUUGUGACACUAUCUAAUAGACGAAAGAGAAUUGUGACACUAUCUAAUGUUGAGAGAUACUGAACAAAAAACUCUCUCUAACCCUAACCACAACAUACUUACUUAUAGAGACCCACGACCCGACUUGACCCACAUGAAAUAACACGCGAUAUGGGCCUAAUUAACAUACACGGGUAAUGGACUUAACAUAUGACCUAAAGUUGAUAACUUGAAACGUGAACCCUGUGUUGAUGGAUGCGUCGGGCUAGCCCAGUAGUUCUAUGGAGCCCAACCUUUAAAUGUCCAGCAGUGUAUAGCAACCCAUAUGAAUGUCUUAUCAAGCAGCCCAUAUCCUUGUUGAGAAGCCCAUGAUCCAUAUACAUGUUACACACAAAAAAUA
rnacentral:lncRNA from 1 species